rnacentral:lncRNA from 1 species
AUAAUUUAACUAGGAUAACAAAAUAUGGCUACUUUGUCACAAUAUCAAGACUACUUAUCCUUGUGACAAGUUGGACUAUGAUAGGCUAGGACCUUUUCUUAUUUGUAAAAAAAUCAAUCUUGUUGCUUAUCAAUUAUAUCUACUAAGGUCUAUGAAGAUCCAUCUUGUAUUCUAUGUAUUUCUUCUUAAGCCAUAUAAGACAAUGAAUAUCUUGGAAAGAAGACAAAU